rnacentral:ncRNA from 1 species
CAACGGACUUCAACACAAAAAUGGAGCGCCGGCGUCGAAAUACGCCGGAUGAACGCCGCUAUAUGCUGGAACACCCUGAGAGCCCGAGGUACUCGUCCGUGCGAGAGCACGGGCAGUGACAAUCCGAGGGAUUGGGCGAUCAGCAGGUAACCGAAAGGGAACCUCAGAGACUACACGCGGCGCACCUGACCGGCUCGGCCGAAGGUGAAGAUAUAGUCCAGACUGCAAGCCGUUUCGGU